UCCGUGCUGCCCUGCUUGACUGCAAUGCCUGGUUGUUUUCACCAAGUAGCGGAAUGAAAAAGAGUAGAAAAAGAGUAACGCUUUAGGAAAAAUAACUUAAUUUUUCCUCCAACAUUUUCUUGUCUUCAGAGGACUCAUUUGCUUAAAGCAGUCUCUGUUCGUGACAUAAAGGAAGUCUCAUGAAGAAGAGGGAAGAAAAGCCCUCCCCUUACACCAAACCCCUGGAUGGAGGAUGGGGAUGGAUGGUUGUGCUUCAUUUUUUCCUGGUGAAUGUGUUUGUGAUGGGAAUGACCAAGACAUUUGCAAUUUUCUUUGUGGUUUUUCAAGAAGAGUUUGAAGGCACUUCAGAGCAAAUUGGUUGGAUUGGAUCUAUUAUGUCAUCACUCCGUUUUUCUGCAGGUCCCCUGGCUGCUAUUAUUUGUGACAUAUUUGGAGAAAAAACUACCUCCAUUCUUGGGACUUUCCUUGUUUCUGGUGGCUAUCUCAUCAGCAGCUGGGCCACAGGCAUUCCCUUUCUUUGUGUGACCAUGGGACUGCUACCUGGUUUGGGGUCUGCUUUCUUGUACCAAGUAGCUGCUGUGGUAAUUACCAAAUAUUUCAAAAAACGAUUGGGUCUUUCUACAGCAAUUGCCCGUUCAGGGAUGGGACUGACAUUUUUGUUGGCACCCUUUACAAAACUCCUGAUAGAUCUUUAUGACUGGACAG
rnacentral:lncRNA from 1 species